CUUGAGGGAGAAGGAGGCCUGGAAUGAAGGCAAGGAUUCACUAUUAAUGAUAAAGCCCAGGAGGCCAGGUGUAGCUGUGGACUGAGACCAUACCUUGUGCCCAAUGUGGGGAAGGAGAACCAAAAAUGCUGCCUGCUUCCUGGGCAACAAGAGGGACUCGGGCACUGGGCAUUGUAAAAAAAAUAUGGUAGAAUCAGGAAGAGAAGCCAUAUUCUUCAGGCAUCCUGGCCAAGAAAUUUGUCUUACCCAGAUAGGAGAAAGCCUGAAUGCUAGCCCCAUGCAAAGCAAUAAGGGAACCAGAAAAACCCUGUAUGAAAAAGACCCUCUGAUAAAUGGAUUGGCGAGGGUGCCAGGGUCAACCCAUAAAUAAAAAGAUCUCAGCCUGAAAGGAGUCUCCGAGAGAUAAGAAAGAUGGGAUUCGGUCCGUGCUGCUCUGGCUGGUCCUGCUUAUCCCGGAGCAGGGAGGCAGUUGCUUUCCACGCAGGAUUUCCGUUCGGGGUUCACAAUAAGCGGUCUCAAGCGGGGGCACCUUCCCCGCCACCUCCACCUCCCCCCAAACAAAGAAGCCAAAUUGGGCUGUGCCAAGCCCAAUGCGCUUGGGAACCUUCGAGAUGAGCGAGGGUGAGGCAGGCUACUGUGGACAGGCCUGGACUCCUUAACCCUCUCCACGGGUUUGGAGUCGCCAGGCGUAGCAAGAGGGCAGCAGUGGGCUCGCGUCUAUGCGGGUAUCCAAAAUGAAAAAGAGCUGCAAACCGUGCGGAAGUCCGGGGUGAGGUGCAGAAAACAGAGCAGGGGCGCCGCCUUGCUUCUCAAACACCUUCGAUGGAUGGGUUUUCCCCGAGAGAUUAUUUCAGAUCCUGGAAAUUAGGGUCCCGUUGGGCAGUGGCCGCAGCACUGGGGCUGUGGGUGCGUGCCCAGCCCUGCAGACAGGGUCCCCCGGCCGCACCGGGGAGCGCGGCAGGCGCCCGGGCCCCGAGGGAGUCGGCAGAGGAUUGUUUCAUUUCAAAGUGAAAAUCUGCAGGCUUUGGGAAACGAUAUUCAAAAAAGUAUAUAAUCUCCAUAUGCCGCUCAAUGGAGGAUCCUCAUAAUUUACAGAGGCAGAUAAGGCUAGAGGGUGUAAUAAAAAAUCUGAAGCCCUCCCCUCCCCCUCGCCG
rnacentral:lncRNA from 1 species